CAUCAUCCUGUGGCUUCGGGGGAUUCAGACAGCUGGCGAGGCAAGCGUGGGGCCUUGUCCCCUCCCCGGUGCCCCUGGCUGCCCCCUUCUGCACUUGGUGGCAUUGGCACUGUGGCCCCACGGGGACGGGCCUCUUCCAUCUCAGGACAGCCCCAGCGGGAAGCCGGAUGCGGCUUCCCUGGGGCCUGCAGGGCAGGGGAGGGCAGAGAGGGCUCUGGCCAGAAGCCCCCAUCCCCCUUCUGGGGCUGACCCACAAUGUCCCAAGAAGGCAAGGCACAGAGAGCUACGCGAUGAGCCCGGUUGCAGACUGGCUUCUCAACUCGCUAAGCUGGUGAGGGGCACUGUUACCCGGGGCGGCCGAUCGGUGAGUCAGGGGAGUAAGUCACAGCCGGGACAGCUGUCCCUGCGGUCGGGGCUGCCUGCUGCGGCUCAGGGGGGCACACGGGGGUCCCGCAGGCCCCUGGCAGCGUCCUCCUGGCUCCCUGUCCUCUCUCCUGCUUCCCGCCAGGAUGAACAGCCGCUGGACCAGCUCUGGAAAGAUCCACGGUGUUUUUGUUGGUUGGCAAUCUGGUUUUCAUUUCUCUUCUCUAAUCUCCACACGAAAGAAUUAUUUUUGUUGGUUUCCAGUUUUAUUGAAAUAUAAUUGGCAUCUAACGUUGUAUGAGCCCAAGCUGUACAAUAUAAUGAUUUGCUGUUUGUGUAUAUGGUCACGUGAUCUCCCCCAAAAGUUGAGUUAACGUCUGUCAGUGCACACAGUUAUGCAAUUUUUUUCACCGAUUUACAAAUAGCUAACUAGUCACCAGGCUGAUCAUUAUAUCCCCACGACUUAUUUAUCUUAUAACUGGAAGUUUGUGCUUUGACCCGCCCCUCCUCCCUCCUUCCCCCAACCCCAACUCUGGCAACCACCAACCUGUUCCCUGGAUCUAUGAGCUCAUUUUUUUGUUGUUGUUGUUUGUUUGUUUUGUUUUGUUAGAUUCCACAUAUAAGUAAGAUCACAGUAUUUGUCUUUCUCUGUCUACUUAUGUCACUUUGCAUAAUGCCCUCAGGGUCCAUCCAUGUUGUCACCAGUGGCAAGAUGCCCUUUCUUCCUUCCUUCCUUCCUUCCUUCCUUCCUUCCUUCCUUCCUUCCUUCCUUCCUUCCUUUUCUUUUCUCAUCUUUUCUUUCCUUUCUUUCUUUCUUACGUUUAUUUAUUUUUGAGGGAGAGACAGAGUGUGAGCGAGGGAGGAGCAGAGCAGAGAGAGAGGGAGACACAGAAUGCGAAGCAGGCUCCAGGCUCUGAGCUGUCAGCACAGAUCCUGAUGUGGGGCUCGAACUCAUGAACUGGGAGAUUAUGAUCUGAGCUGAAGUCAGAUGCUUGACCUGAACUACCCAGGCCCCAGAUUUCUUUCUUUCUUAUGGCUGAAUGGCUUUAUCCAUCCGUCCAUCCAUCCAUCCAGCCAGCCACCCAUCUGUCCAUACAUCCACCUGUCCAUCCAUCCAUGGGACUUAGGUUGUUCUGUGUCUUGGCUAUUGUGAAUAGCGCUGUGGCCGUGGGGGUCUCAGAUAUCUUUUCAAAUUAGUGUUUCCUGUGCACAACUACCCGGAAGUGGGAGGGAGUGCCAGAUCAAGUGCCAUUUCUGUUUGUGAUGUUUUCAGGACCCCCCACGCCCCGCGCUGUUCCCCGGGGUGGCCGCACCAGUUUGCAAGCCCACCAACAGUUCAGGUCCCUUUCCUCCACAUCCUUGCUUCCAUCCUUUCCUGUGUCUGCUUCUUUCUUUGUUUCCGUUCGUCACGCUGGGAAUGGACGGGCGGCUGGCCUGCAGGCGAGGCCUCGAGUAGACGCCGUCUGCAUGCCCCGCCUGAGAUGCGAUGCGUGAGGAGAAAACAAGGCGAGGACAAGGGUGCCCGCUUCUCUGGUUCUUGCAGUGUUGCUGUCCACAGCGAGGCGCCCCGGAGGUCGUGCUUACUGCCUGGUUCUUCCACUCCCGUAGUGUCAAAGGGGGCGGUACAGAAAUGACGAGGUAACAGCUGGAGAAAGCCACAAGUGGGCCUACUGUGAUCAGAAAGGAAAAAGUGUGAUUUUGGGGAAAUGUUGGGGAAAAAUCCCCUGCCUGUUCCCAGUGUCCAGUUUUGAGUACGACUUUUCUGGGCUUUCCUCUGCUGCUCUUCUGCAAAAUGGAUCAUCAGAGGUGGCCGGCCGUAGCCUCGACAGAGGCAUUUUAUCAGCCCUCAGCACAUUUCAGACACUUGGCAGGUAGAAAUGCUUCACGGUAACUUGUUUUUUAUUGCAUUCACGGCACAAACGAGUCCCUGAAAGAUCUGUUCUGGGACCUCCGCUGGCGGCGAGGAGGACGGGCCGGAAGACGGGAUGGCUUGUUCCAGGCUGGGGAGCGAGCGGUGGCCGCGGUGACGGUGACGAGGGCUUCGCUACCCUCAGGCAUCUAAAUCUCCCUGUCACUUUCAAAACACUUUCCUGCCCAGGCCUUGAGAACAUCUCGGGCUAACGGGGAGCCGGUGAGAUUCGUGCACUGGGUGAGGAUGGAUGUCUUCUCUCGUCUAGCUCUCGAAAUGCCGAAAUUCUGUGGCGGAAGGCUCAGCCUCACCUCUGCCUUCCCGCGGAUUCGUGAUUGUGUGUAUCCGGGCCGUGGGCUGACGAGCUCCCCGUUUCCCGCCCCGGCUCCUCCACUUUCUCCUCCGACUGUCACUGAACGCAGAGGGCUCGCAGCUUGGGGUGCCUCGGCCAGAAGGUCAGCCCGCGUCUUCUUGCUUCGAGCAAAUGGUUUUUAUUAUGUGCGACAACCGAGGAGCCAGCGAGGAGGUGGCUCCCAAAGCACUGCCUCCCCGUGGGGUUGGUGCCGGCAGCCUGUUCAGGACCCCUGGAAGCAUGCGUGUGCCUUGGGGAAUUACACAUCUUUUUAAAACUUCGUUUCUUUAACUUCAAGUUAGUUUCAGGGGGAGAUCCCAGUGAUUCAUCUCUUACAUACAGCACCCAGUGCCCAUUCCAGCAAGUGCCCUCCUCAACGCCCAGCCCCCAUCUAGCCCAGCCCCCUCACCCGCCUCCCCUCCAGGAACCCUCAGAUUGUAUUCUGUAUUUGAGAGCCUCUUUCGGUCUGCCUCCCUCUCUGUUUUUAUCUUAUAUUUCCUCCCCUUCCCCUACAUUCACCUGCUGUGUUUCUUAAAUUCCACACGUGAAUGAAAUUAUAUUUGUCUUUCUCUGCCUGAUUUAUUUCGCUUAACCUAAUACCCUCUAUUCCAUCCACGUCGUUGCAAAUGGCAAGAUUUCAUUCCUUUGGAUCACCGAGUAGUAUUCCAUUGUGGAUAUAAACCACAUCUUCUUUAUCCAUUCCUCCAUCGAUGGACAUUUGGGCUCUUUCCAUACUUUGGCUAUUGUCGAUAGUGCUGCUAUAAACAUUGGGGUGCCUGUGUCCCUUCGGAACAGCACACCUGUAUCCCUUGGAUAAAUACCUAGUAGUGCCAUUGCUGGGUCGUAGGGUAGUUCUGUUUUUAACUUCCUGAGGAACCUCCAUCCUGUUUUCCAGAGCGGCUGCCCCAGUUUGCAUUCCCACAACAGGAAAAAGCGUUCCCCUUUCUCCGUAUCCUCACAUCUUCUAUUUGUGUCCUAGUACUUAGGCACCUGCGUUAAAUGUCCGCAUGUGGUGCCUGCGUCCUGUGUUCAAACACUGGCAGGAAACUGUGUCCACAGGAGGAGACCUGGGUAUUAUCAUGAGCUAAAGGUAAGUUCAGGACAACUCGGGGGGCUUCUGCACAGGUGCCCAGCUCCAAACCUGCUCAGACUGGCUCACGAAAGGGGCCACCAGGGGAAACACCUAGCUGGGGAGGAGGGGUGUCUCCCGGGCUGGAACUAGUGUUCCUGCAAAACAGAAUGCAUCCCUUCCCUGCUUUGGGGCCCUCCCCCCUCCUCCUCCCUCCGUGGGUAGCUUCCUGCCUCUGGUUUGAGCAACUCCCUGUUGUAACAUUACCCCCCGCGCCUUAUUUACUUUGGAGCCCAGCAGGCUACAGGCCCAAAGGGAGCUGGAGGAGACUGGAGACAAGAACAGGGCAGAGUCCUGUGACCCCAAGGCUGUGCCUACAGCCCGUGGGAUCCCCUUCCACCCUCGUCACCUCCCGUGUCCAGUUUUUCACAGGGUUCUGCCAAUGCUUCCACUGAAAUGACUUUUUUUUUUAAUUUUUUUUAAACGUUUAUUUAUUUUUGAGACAGAGAGAGACAGAGCACGAACGGGGGAGAGUCAGAGAGAGAGAGGGGGACACAGAAUCGGAAACAGGCUCCAGGCUCCGAGCUGUCAGCACAGAGCCCGACGCGGGGCUCGAACUCACGAACCACGAGAUCAUGACCUGAGCCGAAGUCGGACGCUUAACCGACUGAGCCACCCAGGCGCCCCAUGACUUUUUUUUUUUUUUUUACAACAGCCUCUUUCAGAUAUAAUUCACAUACCAGACGUCCACCAUUUAAAGUGUAAAGCUCACUAGUUUUAGUGUAUUCAGGUAUGUGCCCCCACAAUCAAUUCUAGACGAUUUCAUCACCUCCCAGAGAAACCCUAAAGCUUUUAGCUCUCACCUUCCUGCCCCCACAUUCCUCUGCCCGGAGCAACUGCUAAUCCCUUUUGUCCCCGUGGGUUCCCCUGUUCUGGACAUUUCACAUAAAGGGAAUCACAUAAUGUUUGUCUAAGCGCUUAGCGUAAAGUUUUCAAGGUUCCCCCACGUAGUAGCAGGUAUCGGACUUCAUUCCUUCUUAUGGACAGAUGCUGUCUCAUCGUGCGGAGAGACCACAUUCUGUGUGCGCGGGUUUUGGUGGGGACAUAGUUUCUCAGUCCUCCGGGCACACACCCAGCUGUGGAGUUGCAGGGUCAUAAAGCAACAGCGGGUUUGACGGUCCCAAGAGCUACCAGUCGGUUCCCCAAAGCGGCUGCUCCAUUUUCCACCCCCACCAGCAGCGUGUGAGGGUUCCAGUUUCGGGAGGAAGUGACUUUUAUUCGCAUCCGGGACUCAUUCCCAGUGCCCAUGUCUGUGUCAAGGUCUUCCAGCCUCAUAUGCAGAUGAUUGCUGGAGCCACCUUGCUGUGCUGGACUCCGCAUGGUUCCCCCCCGGCCAUGACACCCGCUGGCCCGCCGUCCUGCCGCCCCACAUUCCAUCAUUGGACCCCACGGGGUAAGACGGUGACCUACCAAUCGUAGCCUCCAUAAUCUAGACCAGCUUGGCCAAGGUCCCUCCAAACCUUCCCCUCCCAGCCUGCCUCUUCCCCGGCAUGAACCUUCACUUCUAGCCCCCUCCCCUUCACACCCACAGUGUCAUACCUGUUGGGGGAUCCCACCCCUGGGACUAGAAAUUCCCAGCGCCUGGGAAGCUCCUUUGUUUCUUCUCCCGAUCUCAACACCUGCCCCGCCCCAAAGCAAUCAUUCUCUUUGCCUCUAACGGCGUGAAGUACGCUGUCUUUACACUGUGUCUUCUGCUGUCCUCUGUCCUUGGCCACUAACCUGACUGAUGGACGUGUCACCCACUUCUCUAUCAAAGGCCAGUUCCCUCUCUGUUCCAGCCCACACCGCCCUCGUCCGCGAGACUUCACGAAACUGCCCACCGUGAUCCUGCUCUCCCUCGAAAUUGCUACCCCACCAUCGCACCCUUAAUUACGUGCCUCUAAUACGCACAAAAUCUUACGGUGCUAAAAUAGUUUUUGGUCUCCUGCAUACGAUGGGGAGGGACCCCCUUGCAGGUAGAGACUGCAUCUUAUAGAAACCUUUCUCCUGUCACGGUGGCAAAAAGCGAAUGUAGUAAGUCUGCAAUGAAUAUUUAUUGAGUUGAAUUUCACUGAAAUGACUAAAUGUCCUACGUAAGAGCCCCAGAGAGAGGGCACCGGAAGCUAAUAAAAUGGCUGGUAACUGAUUUGGAAGAAAUUCUAGGAUGGGAAUGACUGCAUAUUGGUGUGGGAAGGGGCUCAGAUCUGAGUUUAACCCUCUUGUGUUCCGGGUAGGCUGAGCCCCGGCUUGGCGUCGGGCUUAGCCCAGGUUGCACAGCUGGGAAUCGCAGCUCACUCACUGCCUUCUCCCCGGCAGGCACUCUGGAAGCCGUGCUGACCCUCGGCCUGGGAGCCAGGACCCUCUCCAUCCGUGUGUCCUGCUCGCCUUUGUACCCACGGCCCAUCCAGCAGCGGCAGGGCCAAAUACACAUUUGUGGGCUACCGCGCAAGCUCAAGAAGUUAAUCCAGGGGAAGAGCUUCAGCAGUACUUGGCACCUGGUGUGCACCUGUUGAAUGUGAGCUCGGACGGUGGGAGCCUCUGGUCCCUUCUCUGCACUCUCUGCUUCCCUUCCUCUUCCUACCAAGGAGCCAAAUCCAUGUGGUGGUGGGUACAGCGUUGCGGUUGGCUUUCUUCACCGUCUACCUGAUGCUCCGUGCUGCUGAGAUCCACGAGGUUUUGGAGCAUUCAUCGCUCCACUGUGGAGGGGGACUUUUUGCAGAGGCUCCAUGGCCCAUGGGGACAAGAUUUCAGUUGCCUUGGUGCCUCUUAGGGCGUGGUCACACGCUGAGAGCAGAGGCCAUGGGGGUUAAUGAGGAAGGAAGCUGGUGGGCCACUGCCCAAUGGGGUGGCUUUUAUAAAGUCCCCUCGUCCCUGCGACAGCAGUAUGUACAAAUUGUGUGGAGGAGCGCAGGGCCAGGAGUCAGGGCCAGAGACCCCAGUCCAGCUGCCCACUGGCAAGUCCUUGCCCUGCCCGAGCCCUGCUUUCUCCAUCUGCACAAUGGCCGGUGUUGGAGGCACAUGUUAGAGCCCCUUUGGGAGCCUUUCAAACAUACCUCGCCCCAGAGAGCCUUCCCUGGUGGGCCUGGACAAUGUCUGGAAAUAAAGGCUCCCCUGUGCAGCCAGAGUCAAGAACCACAGGCCAGAUGAGUCCGAGGGCUUUUCCAACUCCACAGCUAGACACUGUUUUAUCUGGAAAAAUAAACAGGUUCCCCAAAGAGCUGAUCUUGUCUGGAGAGGGAGAAACAUCAACA
rnacentral:lncRNA from 1 species